rnacentral:rRNA from 1 species
UACGUAGGAGGCGAGCGUUGUCCGGAAUUACUGGGUGUAAAGCGCGUGUAGGCGGUGAGUUAAGUCUGUUGUGAAAGCGCCCGGCUCAACCGGGCAGAGUCAAUGGAAACUAGCGCACUGGAGUUCGGCAGGGGAGACUGGAAUUCCUGGUGUAGCGGUGAAAUGCGCAGAUAUCAGGAGGAACACCGGUGGCGAAGGCGGCAUCCUGGACCAUUACUGACACUGAAAAGCGAAAGCCAGGGGAGCAAACAGG